CUACCUGUAUGCACUAUACUUUUGUUAUCUAUUCUCUGGAUUUAAUAUUAUUGAUUGAAAAAUCUUUUUUCUAUUGGGGACAUCAGCUAUUCAUGUGUGCUAUAACAAGGCCUUUUGAAAGUGCUAACGGAUGUAGAGUCUCUAGCAUUCUCUGUCGUGCUUCUAGGCCAAUAAUUUCAGUGAGUGAAUGCUUUCUUUUCUUAUUUUCAGUAAAUGUCAGAAAUUAUCUAUUUAUAUUUUUUGUAAUGAAAAAUUAUCCAGUUCUUCUCUACUCCAAGUAUGCAAAAAGACAUUAAGUUCAUUCGCUUUAGCAUGGACAACUCCUAGAUGUGCAUUUUUCUACAGCUAUUGCUUUGGUGUUUAUGCUUACAUGUUCUGGUGGUUUUCUAUUUCGUGUAUCUUAUGCCUCCCGAGGAAAUUUAUGAUUUGCUAAUAGAAUUUUUUUUUUUUUUAAGGUUUUCUAAUAAAAUCUUCAUACUGCUGCACGAUAUUGAACCGAUAUUCCAGCGUAGGUGUUCAUUAUCUCUCUCACAUUGCACCUUGAAUUUGUGCUGAUGCAUUCUCUCUGUAUUGUUCAUAAUCCAACAAAUUACUUCUUUCUUUUUCUUUUUUUUUUCUGUGCCCACCACCUUACGAUUUCAGCUUGAAAGAUUUGGUUUCUUUGUAUAAUCUAUAUUGCAUUUUUCCUAGCUGCUGUUAUUUAGUAUGCAAGCAUUUAAUCAAUAUUGACAUGAUUUUUGGAUCUACUUCGACCGUGCUCUCUAAGCCAAAUUUUCAAUUUGCUUAACCUAAGAUGAAUAUUUAGCUGGCUGCUCAGGCCUGAAAGCUCCAGAGGUAUAAUUUUUAGAAUUUCAAACUAAUCUUUUGGAAAAGGUGCUUUUAUAUUCUCUCAAAAUGGACUCUGUACUAUGAUUGUUUUGACAAUUUAAUAUUGACUGCCUUGAUGGUUAAGCCUCUUGGAACUUGUGAGCAGUUGAAGUGAAGUGCAAAAUUGAGUUGAUUUUUCGUUGUCAAUCGAAAAGAAUUUGAAGUGCUUUUCCCAAAUUAAUAUGUACCUAAAUCCUGUCCUCAGUGGAAAUGAUGCACCACAUUCAGGAGAGUGGUGUCCAAAGACAGGAGGUUGCAGUUCUCCAAACUUUUUGUUUAGUAUCUAGAAUGUUAUAUUCUUCUAAUGUCUUCUCUUUGUUCCUGUUUCCACUACUGAAACCUGAGUUUUUGACAUUGUAUUAUCUUAUUCAUUAUGUCCUUUGUUACUUUAUGCAAUCAAGGUAAAUUCAAGCCCCUUUGAAGA